GUCUAUGGCCAUACCACCCUGAACGCGCCUGAUCUCCUCUGAUCUCGGAAGCUAAGCAGGGUUGGACCUGGUUAGUACUUGGAUGGGAGAAAGUACCUUGCUUUAUGCU
rnacentral:rRNA from 1 species